UACGAGGGUGCGAGCGUUAAUCGGAAUUACUGGGCGUAAAGCGCGCGUAGGUGGCUGAGUAAGAUGGGUGUGAAAUCCCCGGGCUUAACCUGGGAACUGCAUCCAUAACUGCUCGGCUAGAGUACGGUAGAGGGUAGUGGAAUUUCCUGUGUAGCGGUGAAAUGCGUAGGUAUAGGAAGGAACACCAGUGGCGAAGGCGACUACCUGGACUGAUACUGACACUGAGGUGCGAAAGCGUGGGGAGCAAACAGG
rnacentral:misc_RNA from 1 species